GCCAGGCGUGGUGGCGCACGCCUGUAGUCCCAGCUACUUGGAAGGCUGAGGCAGGAGUAUUGCUUGAGCCUGGGAGGUGGAGUUUGCAGUGAGCCAAAAUGACGCCAUUGCACUCCAGCCUGGGCAAUAGAGCAAGACUCUGUCUCAA
ensembl:misc_RNA Metazoa_SRP Metazoan signal recognition particle RNA